ACUCCUACGGGAGGCAGCAGUGAGGAAUAUUGGACAAUGGGCGGAAGCCUGAUCCAGCCAUGCCGCGUGCAGGAAGACGGCCCUAUGGGUUGUAAACUGCUUUUGUACGGGAAGAACAAGGGCCACGUGUGGUCCGUUGACGGUACCGUAAGAAUAAGGACCGGCUAACUCCGUGCCAGCAGCCGCGGUAAUACGGAGGGGUCCGAGCGUUAUCCGGAAUUAUUGGGGUUUAAAGGGUCCGUAGGCGGGCCGUUAAGUCAGGGGUGAAAUGCUGCGGCUCAACCGUAUCACUGCCUUUGAUACUGGCGGUCUUGAAUCAUUGUGAAGUGGUUGGAAUAUGUAGUGUAGCGGUGAAAUGCAUAGAUAUUACAUAGAACACCGAUUGCGAAGGCAGAUCACUAACAAUGUAUUGACGCUGAUGGACGAAAGCGUGGGUAGCGAACAGGAUUAGAUACCCUGGUAGACUGUCA
rnacentral:rRNA from 1 species